UGAAGGGAGAGAAGGAACUCAUUGAAAAAGUAUUACAUACAGAAAUUAAUAUUUUCCUUUCAAUUAGAGAUGGUAGUGCACUUAUGCAGCAUAUGGAAGAUUUCUACUACAUCUCAUUGUUGGAGAUUGUGACAUCAAAUUUCGAGACAUCCGAGAAGCUUCAA